rnacentral:rRNA from 1 species
AACGAACGCUGGCGGCAGGCCUAACACAUGCAAGUCGAGCGGCAGCGGGAAAGUAGCUUGCUACUUUUGCCGGCGAGCGGCGGACGGGUGAGUAAUGCCUGGGAAAUUGCCCAGUCGAGGGGGAUAACAGUUGGAAACGACUGCUAAUACCGCAUACGCCCUACGGGGGAAAGCAGGGGACCUUCGGGCCUUGCGCGAUUGGAUAUGCCCAGGUGGGAUUAGCCAGUUGGUGAGGUAAUGGCUCACCAAGGCGACGGUCCCUAGCUGGUCUGAGAAGAUAAUAAGCCACACUGGAACUGGGACACGGUCCAGACGCCUACGGGCGGCAGCAGUUGGGAAUAUUGCACAAUGGGGGAAACCCUGAUGCAGCCAUGCCGAGUGUGUGAAGAAGGACUUCGGGUUGUAAAGCACCUUCAGCGAGGAGGAAAGGUUGUUGGCUAAUAUCCAACAGCUGUGACGUUACUCGCAGAAGAAGCACCGGCUAACUCCGUGCCAGCCGCCGCGGUAACAC